rnacentral:rRNA from 1 species
AUGAACGCUGGCGGCGUGCCUAAUACCUGCAAGUCGAGCGAACAGACGAGGAGCUUGCUCCUCUGACGUUAGCGGCGGACGGGUGAGUAACACGUGGAUAACCUACCUAUAAGACUGGGAUAACUUCGGGAAACCGGAGCUAAUACCGGAUAAUAUAUUGAACCGCAUGGUUCAAUAGUGAAAAACGGUUUUGCUGUCACUUAUAGAUGGAUCCGCGCCGCAUUAGCUAGUUGGUAAGGUAACGGCUUACCAAGGCAACGAUGCGUAGCCGACCUGAGAGGGUGAUCGGCCACACUGGAACUGAGACACGGUCCAGACUCCUACGGGAGGCAGCAGUAGGGAAUCUUCCGCAAUGGGCGAAAGCCUGACGGAGCAACGCCGCGUGAGUGAUGAAGGUCUUCGGAUCGUAAAACUCUGUUAUUAGGGAAGAACAAAUGUGUAAGUAACUAUGCACGUCUUGACGGUACCUAAUCAGAAAGCCACGGCUAACUACGUG